rnacentral:rRNA from 1 species
GAACGCUGGCGGCGUGCUUCAUACAUGCAAGUCGAACGAUAAGGUUCCUUCGGGGAAUACAUAAGUGGCGGACGGGUGAGUAAUGUGUAGAGAAUCUGCCUUCAAGGCGGGGGAUAACAGAGGGAAACUUCUGCUAACUACCCCAUAUGCGCGUAGCUGAGAUGCUAUUCGUAGAAAGUUCAGGCGCUUGGAGAUGAGUCUGCAUCUGAUUAGCUAGUUGGGGGUGUAAUGGACCACCAAGGCGACGAUCAGUAGCUGGUUUGAGAGGAUGAUCAGCCACAAUGGGACUGAGACACGGCCCAUACUCC